rnacentral:rRNA from 1 species
CCUACGGGUGGCAGCAGUGGGGAAUAUUGGGCAAUGGGCGCAAGCCUGACCCAGCAACGCCGCGUGAAGGAAGAAGGCUUUCGGGUUGUAAACUUCUUUUGACAGGGAAGAGCAGAACACGGUACCUGUCGAAUAAGCCACGGCGAACGACGUGCCAGCAGCCGCGGUAAUACGGGGGUGGCAGGCGUUGUCCGGAUUUACUGGGUGUAAAGGGCGUGUAGCCGGGCUGACAAGUCAGAUGUGAAAUCCGGGGGCUCAACCCGGGCCUUGCAGCGCGAACUGGCGUGCUUGAGUCCGCGGGAAGCAGGCGGAAUUCGUCGUGUAGCGGUGAAAUGCUUAGAUAUGACGAAGAACCCCGAUUGCGAAGGCAGCUUGCUGCAGCGGAACUGACGCUGAUGCUCGAAAGCGCGGGUAUCGAACAGGAUUAGAUACCCCAGUAGUC